rnacentral:rRNA from 1 species
CCUACGGGAGGCUGCAGUAAGGAAUAUUGGACAAUGGGCGCAAGCCUGAUCCAGCCAUGCCGCGUGCAGGAUGACGGCCCUAUGGGUUGUAAACUGCUUUUAUACGGGAAAAAACCCCUCUACGUGUAGAGGGCUGAUGGUACCGUAAGAAUAAGGAUCGGCUAACUCCGUGCCAGCAGCCGCGGUAAUACGGAGGAUCCGAGCGUUAUGCGGAUUUAUUGGGUUUAGAGGGUUCUGAGAGUCAUUGGUGAAAGCCUGCAGCUUAACUGUAGAACUGCCAUUGAUACUGCAAGUCGUGAGUACAUAUGAUGUGGGCGGAAUGUGUAGUGUAGCGGUGAAAUGCGUAGAUAUGACACAGAACACCAAUUGCGAAGGCAGCUCACAAAACUGUAACUGACGCUGAGGCACGAAAGCGUGGGGAGUGAACAGGAUUAGAUACCCGUGUAGUC